rnacentral:rRNA from 1 species
UACGUAGGGUGCAAGCGUUGUCCGGAAUUAUUGGGCGUAAAGAGCUUGUAGGCGGUCUGUCGCGUCGGCUGUGAAAACCCGGAGCUCAACUCCGGGCCUGCAGUCGAUACGGGCAGACUGGAGUUCGGCAGGGGAGACUGGAAUUCCUGGUGUAGCGGUGAAAUGCGCAGAUAUCAGGAGGAACACCGGUGGCGAAGGCGGGUCUCUGGGACGGUACUGACGCUGAGACGCGAAAGCGUGGGGAGCAAACAGG